GCACCAAUAGCUCAGGGGAUAGAGUAGCACACUCCGAAUGUGUUGGUCGUGAGUUCGAUUCUCACUUGGUGCACCA
rnacentral:tRNA from 2 species